CUGUUCCCUCCGGGUGGGUGGGUGUGGGGGGUAAUGUGCUUUCAAUCUGUGAGCGUUUCCGUGUGUGUUGUGAAGUGGAUUAUACUUACAGUGAGAACACGUGUGUGUGGAUUUAAGUGGGCGGUGGUAAUGUGUUUGUGAAUGUGCGGGUGGGGAGAUGAAACGUGCGCAUCGGUAAGUGGGCCUGUUUUCCACUUGUCCGGGAGAAAAAACACCGACAGUAAAUCCACAAAUGAAAUCCUCUCUUUUCUACCCAGUGACCCCGACUGGUAAUUAGGUGGACUCAAAAGGGGGGGCUUGGGUGGACACGUGUCACAAGUAUUUCCAUCAGAGCUUCGUCUCCAGCCUCCAAGUGGCUGCUGAAACACAACUGCCUGUGUUUUUUUUGUAUCCACUGCAGAGCGGCUCCUUUCGGCUCCUUUCGGCUCGCGGUCCGUUCCGAUCCCGACGGGGGUGAUUAGCGGGCCGGCCGGACAGCAGCUGGCUGCCGCUCGCUAGUCCGCCUCCCCCGAGCGCACACUUGUUUCCCCCUUGAGUGACAGCCGCUCUUCCGGUUCAAUAACCUUUUCCAGCGGACCAAUCUCCUGGAACGGGUGGAGCAGCUACUCCCCCCCCCACUCCCCUGUCACACCCACCCAGCCCGCCGGUGCGCCGGCACCGAAAAAGCAGGUCAGAGGAGGUGCGCGUAGAUGGGGAGGAACAAAAAAAGUUGGGAGAGGGGAAGGAAGGUAAUCCCCACUCGAUGCCGUCGCUCCGUCUCCCCCCGGCCCCACAAAGAAAAGCACGGAGACGAUCUGAACGGAUGAACCGGUGGAAAGAAAGGGGAUCAGAAAUCAGAGAAGGAGCUCGAGGGGGAGAUGUGUCGGGCUUUCUUCCCUUGUAUCAGCACCACGUCGGAGAAUCCCACCCAGAGCAGGAGAGGUGGAGGUUCUCAUGGACCGAGUAAUUGUUCUUACAAGGCGGACCUUCCGCCUCGGCCACCGGGUCAGAGCCAUGAUGACGCACAGGGGGGCAGCGCGAGACGCCAGGUACUCCCAGCAGAGGGCGCCAGGGUGGUGGCGGGCUGGCUUUGAAAAGGUAAUUUCCAUUAAGGAGCCAAAGGAGCCGCUCUUGCUGUUAGUGGUCCGGCAGGAGCAGAAGCUGAUGUGCGAGCACAUCUGCUUGUGUGUGCGAGCUCCUCUUUAUGCUGAGGGUAAGAGAUCUGUCUAGUUUCAUAACUGAUUGACAAUGAUGCUUCAAUCAAGUGUGUGUGUGUGUGUGUGUGUGUGUGCACGCGUGAGUGUGUAAGAGAGCAGCCCGGCGCACAUCCCGGUCUUCUGGAUGGCCGGCGUUGAUUUGAUGGAUCGGGGAGAAAACGGCGAGUGCCUUGGCUGAAUGGUGAUGUUCUGAUCGGAAAGGUGGUUAUCCUGGGAGACGCACGCGGUUCCCCCGAGAUUCCAACUUUUAAAAAUCAGCCAUAGACGAGGGAGGAUCUUCUCAUCCAGCUGAUGGUCUGACCUCUCUCCUACGGGCAGCAACGGAAGGACUAAACAUCAGAAACAUCUUUUCAACAUGGAAAUGCGGCGCUGAUUCGCAGAGGGAGACCUUUUUCCAAGAACGCUAGAAGCGAACCGUGGGUCAAGACUGAAUGAAGAGAGUCUCUCAAUGGACAAUCUGUUUCGGGAGAAACUGCUUGCAAAGGAUCAAUCACUGUAGAUUAACACAGCAUCACUUCAUUACAGCUAUCAAAGGCCGUUGCCUUCGCUAAUGGCAUUAGAGAUCGUCCUCUCACGCAGCCCAUUGUUAAUGUGGGUUUUUAUGAUGCUGAUGAAAAGAAAAGCACAGAAAGAGAAGUCUGUUAAGUUUGAGAAAGGCUUUGGUAAUGGACUAUUCCAAUAGUACGGUAAUAUCAGCCGUACGUCUCCCGGCUCCACCUGAGAGUUGACACCUACGUCCUGCCAAGUAUUUGUUUAUUGAGCGAGACUCCAGAUGAGUGUGAUUCCACGGCGAGCCAUGUAGUCACGAAUUAGCCCGACAGCGGUGGGCCCAGUGGGCAACGGCGGGGACACGCUUGCAGGUGGGCCAAUUGUCUCGCCGCGCUAUUAGGUUGGAUCAUCAUAAGUCAGGCGGCCUCAGACAGCCUCCCAGACUUCCCGGCCGUCGGCCUGCGGGCUGAGCAGCGAUAAUCCAGCACCGGCAUCGGGUUGCUCUGGCAGCAUGUGCGUGGCUAACGGCGUUAACCUCUGCUGAGCCGGGCCGCGAGGAAACGGAGCGGGGGAAGAGGCUGAACGAGACGCCCCUAGUGCCUUAUCUUGACAGCCAGGCGCCCGAUACUAAUACAAAUGGAGGAAAGAAGCACUUCAUCGCGUCAACGGACAGUGUUUGUUCCACAAUCUGUAACCUGAAAUUACAUUUUAACUCCAAACAGAAGCUACGAAUGGGGGUCAACUGGAGGGCAGCACCAGCAGCCAGAACAGCUGAAACGCUCGCUGCCAUCCACUUUUCAAAUCGUGUUGGGGGAAACUCGACUACAGGGACGAGCGACAAAAGCAUUAUCCCUGGUUAGGGGUUUAGACGGUGGGGUGGUACCUGCCUUUUGGGGCCGAAGCGCAGGAGCACUGAGUUAAAACAGCACUGCAUGUGAGGCUGGUUGGAGUUGUAAAGGGCCAAACAAAACCGCCGUCAAUCUGGCUCCCAAUUCACUAAAAAACUGACUGCGCUUUUUGACAUUUGACAUUUUGACAUUUGAGUUGCACAAAAACAGUUACAGAAGUUACUAAGACAUUUCUCACUUUUCGGCCGCACCGGUUAUUUUAAAUAACAAAGUCAAAAUCCGUCUCUAAUAACACAUUUCUGACUCAGUGGACAGCGCCGCGUCGAUGUGACCGUCAACGGGAGAGCUCCCACAUGAAGGCUGCCGCCACUCAAUGUGACUCACAAACAUGACGCAUCGGCCCGGUUUCUGGCGCAGCGUCACGCGUCCGCUCGCCUGAACACAAACAGUCGCGCAUAAUUCCUGGAGUGCAACAUUUGGGUCGAUAUGACAUUUGGUAGGUGUCUUUCUGGUCAGCACUUCCUGCCCAAUCACCAACACCCACAACGAUUAAGAUACCAGGAUGUAAUAUCGUCCUUGUGACUCUGCCUUUGCAACUAUCAGCCCCUGCAUUGUACCCUAAAUUACUCCAAUGGAUGGUUUCCGGGUGGCACUUCUCUGUGUGGCCGACGCACGGCGACGAACGUGGCAGCGAGGCAGGAGAGCUACGAGCCCGGAGUCUAGAGCGGCUGGCUCUUGCAGCCUUCGCACGGGAAAGGCGAGGCCGGUGGAGCUGAAGGACGACACAGAUGUAGGUCUCUGGCCAAGUGAGCCAUCUGUCACGGGGACCAGGCCAAGCUGUGCCGUCACUAUCACGCUGAGAAAAGUGGCAGGAGACCUGCGGCGAGCCGUCAUUACGGGCAGGUAGCUGCCCUCUGAAUGUGGCCCAUUCCCAACAGCAGCUUACCGUCCGCUGCCGUAGAGGACAUGAAGGUGCACGAGUGUCAAAAGGUGAAAAGUUCGUGCUGCUUGUUCUCAAUCCUUUAGAUAUUGUCUUGAUCUGAACCUUAAAAGAUAUUUGAAUUGGUAUAAGAAGCCAUUCAUGUGUCCCAGGUUUGAAUAAAAAACAGUUAUGAACACAAA